UGUCCUUCCCCACAGGGCUGAUGGCGGCCGUGACGUUGGAUGAGUCCGGGGGCGGCCUCCAGACGCCCGGAGGAGCGCUCAGCCUCGUCUGCAAGGGCUCCGGGUUCUCCUUCAGCAGUUACACCAUGCAGUGGGUGCGCCAGGCGCCCGGCAAGGGGCUGGAAUGGGUCGCUGGUAUUUACAGUGGUAGUAGCACAUACUACGGGGCGGCGGUGAAGGGCCGUGCCACCAUCUCGAGGGACAACGGGCAGAGCACAGUGAGGCUGCAGCUGAACAACCUCAGGGCUGAGGACACCGGCAUCUACUUCUGCGCCAAAAGUGCUGGUGGUUAUGGUUGUGCUUAUGGUUGGUGUGCUGCUGAUCUUGGUUACAUGGACGGCACGGGGACACGAGUUCAUCUGCAUCUGGGAUGGUUCCUCCUGGGAUGCAGAGCUGUGUGA